rnacentral:rRNA from 1 species
UACGGAGGGGGCUAGCGUUGUUCGGAAUUACUGGGCGUAAAGGGCGCGUAGGCGGCGCGAUAAGUUGGGCGUGAAAGGCCCGGGCUCAACCCGGGGACUGCGCUUGAUACUGUCGCGCUGUGAGUCCGGGAGAGGAUGGCGGAAUUCCCAGUGUAGAGGUGAAAUUCGUAGAUAUUGGGAAGAACACCGGUGGCGAAGGCGGCCAUCUGGACCGGCACUGACGCUGAGGCGCGAAAGCUAGGGGAGCAAACAGG